rnacentral:rRNA from 1 species
GAUGAACGCUGGCGGCGUGCCUAAUACAUGCAAGUCGAGCGAACGGACGAGAAGCUUGCUUCUCUGAUGUUAGAGGCGGACGGGUGAGUAACACGUGGAUAACCUACCUAUAAGACUGGGAUAACUUCGGGAAACCGGAGCUAAUACCGGAUGAUAUUUUGAACCGCAUGGUUCAAAAGUGAAAGACGGUAUUGCUGUCACUUAGAGAUGUAUCCGCGCUGCAUUAGCUAGUUGGUAAGGUAACGGCUUACCAAGGCGACGAUGCAUAGCCGACCUGAGAGGAUGAUAAGCGACAAUGGGAAGGAGACACGGCGCAGAUGCAUACGGGAGGGAGCAGUGGGGAAUAUUGUGCAAUGGGGGAAAGGCUGAUCCAGCAAUGCCGCGGGAGUGAUGAAGGCGUUAGGGUUGUAAAGCUCUUUUAAACGGGAUGAUAAUGACAGUACCGUGAGAAUAAGCUCCGGCUAACUCCGUG